rnacentral:rRNA from 1 species
CACGUAGGGGGCGAGCGUUGUCCGGAUUUAUUGGGCGUAAAGAGCUCGUAGGCGGCUCGGUAAGUCGGGUGUGAAAACUCAGGGCUCAACCCCGAGACGCCACUCGAUACUGCCAUGGCUAGAGUCCGGUAGGGGAGCGUGGAAUUCCUGGUGUAGCGGUGAAAUGCGCAGAUAUCAGGAGGAACACCGGUGGCGAAGGCGGCGCUCUGGGCCGGAACUGACGCUGAGGAGCGAAAGCGUGGGGAGCAAACAGG